AGGGUAUUAGGGGGCUCAGAGUAUUGCGGGGCCUAGGGUAUUCGGUUACCUAGUAAGGCGACCUUGAGUGAACUAAAGGGCACUAAACAAAUACAAUGUGUUAUUAUAUCAGCAGUGAGAUGCUCUCUGAUUGUGCUUUUUCUCAAGCACUCCUUGCCGGCUAGACUGUUAUCAGCCAGGAAAGUUGGAGUGUAUAAAAACAGCGAGACAGGUCGGUGCCCGGCCACACCGCUACAGAGAAAACCAGUGCAACACCAUGACGUGGACAGCAGCGAAGUGGACGCUCUUUGUGGGCCUGAUGUCCAUCUUACUGGGCAGCCUGGAGCGAGCGGAAACCGCUGCAGUUAUCACCUCGUCCGGCAAUCAUACCGGCAACACAACUGCAGCAACCAAGUCUCCCAAAACCACCCAGGCCAGUAGAAAUGUGACCAGCGCCACGAAGACCACCAUAACCAUUCUCACGGAAGAGUCUCCCGGGAUCACCAAAGCCCCAACAAAGUGUACCACUACCUGCCCCCCCAAUCCGCCCCCCACGACCAAAACCGGCAGAUGUUGCACAAAGACCAAACCACCCAGCGGCUCGACGUCCUCGUUGGGGUCACAUGACCAACUGCUGCCGCUGGUCGUCUCCAUGGUGAUCGGGCUGAUGGCGAACUGAUUGUUCGAAGCUUCUGAGGGUCCUUUGUUUCAUCGCGAGUAAUUAUUUGCAGAAGCCCACUUGAGGUCCGAGGAUGACGGCCGUCGGCCAUACUGCCAAAUCCAUAGGUAUACACGGUACGAACCACCGCCCGAAUGAAGAAUAGGAUUCGUAUUAUAACGCAUACAAAUAAAGAACCACAAAUCCCUUUAAUCUGUGUUUGAUUGGCCUCUUUGUAAACUUGUAGGAGUCACCGUCAUCAUCAUCAUCAUCAUCAUCAUCAUGCCCAUAGUCAAGAAAGCUUAACUGAAUCGACAUUCCUACAUCCAUACUAUAACAGGAAGCAUUGACUGUAACGUGUAAAAAGAUAAUGGAAUUGGAAGAACCACAUGUUUGACUAACUACAUGUAAUAAUAUUGUCAUUACCAAACGUACAUUAGGUCAACAGUCGUUUUGGUUCUUGCGCUUGAUUGUCUAUUCUUUGUUUUCAAUCUCAUCUCAUCCAACGUCUAGCAUAUGGUGAGCAGCUGUUGUACUCAACACAUUGACCAAGCAGGGCGAUCCCUGUCAGAAAUAUGGCAAUAACUUAGUUUAGGUAAAUUUUACACCGUAUUUGCAUUUCGGUUGUUUUCACGCACAAGCCGGAAAGUUGUAAAAACUUUGAUUUGAGUAUGGCUACCAUUAACAUGGAGUAUAUGCUAGGGUUAGGGUUAGGUGGACGUAAGUCAUAAACAGUGGUAGAUUGAUAGGUAGAUUCAACAUUACACAUGAUAUCUUCGGUUCAUGUAAAUCUAAAGCGGUUGUGCUCAUGGGAUUAAACUAAGGAACAAAAGGUAUCCUAUAAUCAGUAAAGUUAUGUCAGUAAAUAUAAGUGCGU
ensembl:lncRNA